rnacentral:misc_RNA from 1 species
AAAAUGCAAACAAGGGCUUCUAGUUUCAAUCUAAGUUCAGAUGGCAACUCAUCCAUAUUAGGUUUCAAGACAAAUUUCACAAACAAAUCCAGUAGUAGAACUACUUACAUUAUGACGGUGUCGCGUGCAAUAUGACCUAUUACAAUGGUUGCAUUUAGGAAGUUGAAGCCAGCAACUUGAACACAAGAUACCUGCACAUACAGCCUCUUCUAUUUCAUCAUCAUCGACACAUCCACCGCAUUCUUCACACCUUGGAACGCAACAAAUGCAACCCCGACAAUCGCCCAGUGUUUGCUCCUCUUGCUUUAUCUUGCAUCUCUCCCUUGAGCAAUCAUAAACA